rnacentral:lncRNA from 1 species
GUCUCAACUCAAGUUGGCCUUCAAGUGAACCACACAAGAAAGAAAGAGAGAAUACUUUUCAACUAUCCAUGGACUUCCUCGCCAUGGCUGACAUAGUUCGCACUGUGAAGUCUCACCUCCCGGAGGAAAUUGUGACCUGGAGCUCGUCGCACACCUCCAUCAUCAGCUUCAUGAUCCUGUGCGACUGCCAUCUUCCUCAGCUUUUCUCGUCAGCAAGAGAGUUCGGUGUGGAUGACUCCUCUCAUGGUGAUUUCCUCUUUGUGAAUAGGAAGAGAGGUCUCUUGUUGUUAAUAGCUACACCACUUAAUUCUGUCGACAGCAGUUCCAGCAAGGAAGCAAGCGAGGGCCAAUGGAGAGAACCAAGCUCAAGGUUUCAUACAAGCAAAUUUAAAGGCAUGAAUUUAUAUGGAGUUAGAGCUGAACUGAGGUUACUCUUCUUUUCUUCUUUGGAUGCAGAUAAAUGAGAUCUCCGACCUCCAAAGUUGAGUGGUAUCUGCAAGCACACUUCGUGAUGUGUUGUUGUCUAGCAAAAUGGAAUUUUAACGACAAAAUAUAUCUGAGAAAAGUGAAAUCAAGAGGAAUCCAUUACCCUCACUAGAGUUAGAACUCCAGAAAACUUGAGGGUUUUUCUUCUCUUUCCAGUCUUUGAGCUAGUAGAUAAAAGUGUUUUGCUCCCUUUAUCCUUUCUUACUGUUGGUUGGUUGGACCGACUGUCUUCCCACUGCAGUUGAUUCUCCAUGGUUAGCAGUUAAAAGAUUG